AGUGAACGCUGGCGGCGUGCUUAACACAUGCAAGUCGAACGAGAACGGGCUAUAGCUUGCUAUAGUUGUCAGCUAAGUGGCGCACGGGUGAGUAAUGUAUAGGUAAUAUGCCUCUUACUAAGGGAUAACAAAUGGAAACGUUUGCUAAUACCUUAUACUCCUUAUUAACAGAAGUUAAUAAGGGAAAGAUUUAUUGGUAAGAGAUUAGCCUGUAUUGUAUCAGUUAGUUGGUGGGGUAAUGGCUUACCAAGACUAUGACACAUAACUGGUUUGAGAGGAGGAUGAGUCACACUGGAACUGAGACACGGUCCAGACUCCUACGGGAGGCAGCAGUGGGGAAUAGUGCACAACGGACGAAAGUCUGAUGCAGCAACGCCGCGUGGAGGAUGACACAUUUCGGUGCGUAAACUUCUUUUAUAUGAGAAGAUAAUGACGGUAUUAUAUGAAUAAGCACCGGCUAACUCCGUGCCAGCCGCCGCGGUAA
rnacentral:rRNA from 1 species